rnacentral:rRNA from 1 species
UACGAAGGGGGCUAGCGUUGCUCGGAAUCACUGGGCGUAAAGCGCACGUAGGCGGCUUUUUAAGUCAGGGGUGAAAUCCUGGAGCUCAACUCCAGAACUGCCUUUGAUACUGGGAGGCUUGAGUCCGGGAGAGGUGAGUGGAACUCCGGAGUGUAGAGGUGAAAUUCGUAGAUAUUCGGAAGAACACCAGUGGCGAAGGCG